UAAAUGUGAUAUUCGUAAGUCGCUCUGGAUAAGAGCGUCUGCUAAAUGACUUAAA
rfam:Salmo salar isolate Sally breed double haploid chromosome ssa01, whole genome shotgun sequence.